rnacentral:rRNA from 1 species
UACAGAGGGUGCGAGCGUUAAUCGGAAUUACUGGCGUAAAGCGCGCGUAGGCGGCUUUGCAAGUCGGGUGUGAAAUCCCCAGGCUUAACCUGGGAACUGCAUUCGAGACUGCAUCGCUAGAGUAUGGGAGAGGGAAGUGGAAUUUCCGGUGUAGCGGUGAAAUGCGUAGAUAUCGGAAGGAACAUCAGUGGCGAAAGCGACUUCCUGGA